GCCAGGUGUGGUGGCGCAUGCCUGUAAUCCCAGCUACUUGGGAGGCUGCGGCAGGAGAAUUGCUUGAACCCAGGAGGCAGAGGUUGCGGUGAACUGAGAUCACGUCAUUGCACUCCAGCGUGGGCAACAAGAGCAAAACUGUCUCAAACAAGUAAAAAAUAAUUAUUUAUUUAUUUUUGAGACAGAGUCUUGCUCUGUUGCCCUGGCUGGAGUGCAGUGGCAUGAUCUUAGCUCACUGCAACCUCUGCCUCCUGGGUUCAAGUGAUUCUCCUGCCUC
rnacentral:SRP_RNA from 1 species